AAAGAUGAAUCAAAGAAGGUAAUAAUCCUGUAGUCGAAAAUGUUGUCUCUCUUGAGUGGAUCCUGAGUACGACGGAGCACGUGAAAUUCCGUCGGAAUCUGGGAGGACCAUCUCCUAAGGCUAAAUACUCUCUAGUGACCGAUAGUGAACCAGUACCGUGAGGGAAAGGUGAAAAGCACCCCGGAAGGGGAGUGAAAUAGAACCUGAAACCGUGUGCUUACAAGUAGUCAGAGCCCGUUAAUGGGUGAUGGCGUGCCUUUUGUAGAAUGAACCGGCGAGUUACGAUUUGAUGCAAGGUUAAGCAGUAAAUGUGGAGCCGUAGCGAAAGCGAGUCUGAAUAGGGCGUUUAGUAUUUGGUCGUAGACCCGAAACCAGGUGAUCUACCCUUGGUCAGGUUGAAGUUCAGGUAACACUGAAUGGAGGACCGAACCGACUUACGUUGAAAAGUGAGCGGAUGAACUGAGGGUAGCGGAGAAAUUCCAAUCGAACCUGGAGAUAGCUGGUUCUCUCCGAAAUAGCUUUAGGGCUAGCCUCAAGUGAUGAUUAUUGGAGGUAGAGCACUGUUUGGACGAGGGGCCCCUCUCGGGUUACCGAAUUCAGACAAACUCCGAAUGCCAAUUAAUUUAACUUGGGAGUCAGAACAUGGGUGAUAAGGUCCGUGUUCGAAAGGGAAACAGCCCAGACCACCAGCUAAGGUCCCAAAAUAUAUGUUAAGUGGAAAAGGAUGUGGCGUUGCCCAGACAACUAGGAUGUUGGCUUAGAAGCAGCCAUCAUUUAAAGAGUGCGUAAUAGCUCACUAGUCGAGUGACACUGCGCCGAAAAUGUACCGGGGCUAAACAUAUUACCGAAGCUGUGGAUUGUCCUUUGGACAAUGGUAGGAGAGCGUUCUAAGGGCGUUGAAGCAUGAUCGUAAGGACAUGUGGAGCGCUUAGAAGUGAGAAUGCCGGUGUGAGUAGCGAAAGACGGGUGAGAAUCCCGUCCACCGAUUGACUAAGGUUUCCAGAGGAAGGCUCGUCCGCUCUGGGUUAGUCGGGUCCUAAGCUGAGGCCGACAGGCGUAGGCGAUGGAUAACAGGUUGAUAUUCCUGUACCACCUAUA
rnacentral:rRNA from 1 species